rnacentral:rRNA from 1 species
CACGGGGUAGCAAUACUCUGGUGGCGACCGGCGCACGGGUGAGUAACACGUAUGCAACCUACCCUGUACAGGGGGAUAGCCCGGAGAAAUUCGGAUUAAUACCCCAUGAAUAUAUAGAAAGGCAUCUUUUUAUAUUUAAAGUUUCGGCGGUACGGGAUGGGCAUGCGCAACAUUAGCUAGUUGGUAGGGUAACGGCCUACCAAGGCUACGAUGUUUAGGGGACCUGAGAGGGUGAUCCCCCACACUGGAACAGACAGACGGUCCAGACUCCUACGGGAGGCAGCAGUAAGGGAUAUUGGGCAAUGGGCGAAAGCCUGACCCAGCAACGCCGCGUGGAGGACGACGGUCUUCGGA